GGAAUGGCUUGGCUGGGCAGUCCUGCUUGCAUCACCCAUGAGCUUGCAGUCAUGCACUGGCAUUGCUCACUUGAAGACUUGAUGGGAACUGGAGGAUUCACUUCCAAUGUGCUCACUUCCAUGGCUGGAAUGUCAAUAUGGCAGGAAAAAAGAAAACCUGGGGCAUUUGAAGUCCUGAAGUCUAUCUAGUAGCAGAUAAAUUUAAGACACGUAUGUUAGUGUUCAUGCCUACCAGCCAGAGAUCACCAGGAAUCCAUGACUGCUGCAUGAAGCUGGCUUUAUUACUUGCAACAAGGGAGAGCAUUGCACCAGGGAAACCAUGAGGUGAGGCCUUCCCGCAGUCAUGGAUGUCCCAGAAAAGGCGAGGCAGAGGAAGAGGUGACUACAGACGCAAGAAGAGAAGGCAGUGUGACUAUGGAAGCAGAGACUGGAGUGAUGCCGUCAAAGGACGAGGAAUGCCAGCAGCCAUCAGAAGCCGGAGAAGACAAGGAAGGAAUCUGAUUUAGAAACUUCAGAAAGAAUAUGACACUGCCAACACCUUGAUGUCAAAUUGCUG